rnacentral:lncRNA from 1 species
CCACGUUCUAAUCUUACUCAUUGCUUUUAAUUACCAAUUGUGUGGACGCGUUGACUGAGGCGUCUGUGAAACGCGUGCGUGUGCCCAUCUGAUAUGUCAUCUCAAUUAAUAAGGGAGUUCCGAUGGCUCUUGUUUUUUAUGAUUUAUUUAAUUUUCUAAAAUGAGUUUUCAAUAGGAUUUUCUUCCAAAAUUAGUUAUAAUUUCAUUUUUAAUCCAAAAAUUAUGGGACCAACACCAAAAAUUCGCAAAUAUUUU